GACCAACUAAGUUUGUUAUUGGUAUGAGCUUUCGUGUGCAUGCACACGUCUUCAUAUAGCACACGAAAGCUCAUACCAAUAACAAACUUAGUUGGUC